GCCCUGGCUGGUGUGGCUCAGUGGUUGAGCGCUGGACUGUGAUUCAAGGGUCACUGGUUCGAUUCUCAGUCUAGGGCA